CCUCUCCACCUGAGGCUGGGUGUGCUCCAGCACAGAGGAGGUCUGACAGAGCUGAGCCAGGGGCUCCACAGGUAACGAGAACCAACAGGGAAAAACAGUGACAUCGUCCAAGGGUUCGGGUUGGAAGUGACAUUCAAAGCUCAUGCAGUCCAACCCCAGCAAUGAGCAGGGACAUCUUCAUCUGGAGCAGGUUCCCAGAGCCCCUGUCCAGCCUGGCCUGGAAUGUUGCCAGGGAUGGUGCGUCCACCCCCUCUCUGGGCAGCCUGUGCCAGUGCCUCACCACCCUCAGGGCCCCCUUAAAGUAUUGAAGGACCACAAUAAGGGCUCCCUGGAGCCUUCUCCAGGCUGAACAGCCCCAGCUCAGCCUUUCCUCACAGCACAGGCCACUGGAUCAAGGGAAGCCUCUUGAUGAAGCCUUCUUACUCCAGUUACAGG